GCUGGGUGUGGUGGCACACGCCUGUAAUUCCAGCGACUCAGGAGGCUAAGGCAGGAGGAUCACAAGGUCAAAGCCAGUUUCACCAAUUUAGUGAGGCCCUCAGCAACCUAGUGAGACUCUGUCUCCA
rnacentral:sRNA from 1 species